UACGUAGGGGGCAAGCGUUGUCCGGAUUUACUGGGCGUAAAGAGCGCGCAGGCGGUCGUUCAAGUCGAGUGUGAAAGCCCCCGGCUCAACUGGGGAGGGUCACUCGAUACUGAUCGACUCGAAGGCAGGAGAGGGAAGUGGAAUUCCCGGUGUAGUGGUGAAAUGCGUAGAUAUCGGGAGGAACACCAGUGGCGAAGGCGACUUCCUGGCCUGUUCUUGACGCUGAGGCGCGAAAGUGUGGGGAGCGAACAGG
rnacentral:rRNA from 1 species